AUGAGUGUUACAAAGGCUUCCUUACCUAUGCUCAGCACUACAAGCAGCCCGCAGGAGGGAGAAGUGGUACUCAAGAAAGGGGACAUUCAGCCAGACCUUUUGCACGGCACAAGAGGUCCAAGUAGAUCAGUUUGACAACAAGGAGGAGCUAAUUUCCUAGGGAGAUACAAGGGGACUUUUGACUACUGGAUCGGCCUGCACAGAGUCGUCAAAGCACCCUUGGAGGUGGACAGACAACACUGAGUAUAACAACAUGGUUCCCAUUCAAGGAGAUGAAAACUAUAGCUUCCUAAGUAACAAGAUCAGCAAUAGCAUGGGCUACCUAAAUAAGAAGUGGCUUUGUAGCAAGUCCAGUAGCUACACCUUACUAA
rnacentral:lncRNA from 1 species